GGCGGGUUGCAGGUGUGUUUUCUGUGGGCCCGUGCGUCUGUUCCGCGUCUCGCUGGCCCUUGCGAGCUUCCUGGGUCUCUGCUUGGCUCGCGCAACCACCUGGCAAUCGAUUUAAGGGAAAAGAAUCCUCGGCGGAGAACGCAGCGUGAUUUCUCAAAAAGGACCACACGGAGGUAGAGGGAGUGACUCCUGAGCUACUGAUAGCAAAACUCCACGAAUGUACCUGUAUUCACUGACAGCUCAUCUUAGCUUUCUGCAUGAAGGAAGCCCACAUACCAUGAGUAAUCAGGAGGUGUCUUGGUAAGAGGGAUUUAGGAAAGGCUGACUAUAGGAUUUUAGCAUCACAUACUUGGUAAUAUGAGACUAUUAUACUAUAUAUAUUUUUAAAAUGAAUUAAUUAAUUUAUUUUUCGCUGCAUUGGGUCUUUGUUGCUGCACGUGGGCUUUUAGUUGCGUCAAGCGGGGGCUACUCUUUGUUGCGGUGCGCGGGCUUCUCACUGCGGUGGCUUCUCAUUGCAGGGCACGGGCUCUAGGCACGUGGCUUCAGUAGUUGCGGCACGUGGGCUCAGUAGUUGUAGCUCGCAGGCUCUAGAACGCAGGCUCAGUAGUUGUGGCGCAUGGGCUAAGCUGCUCUGCGGCAUGUGGGAUCUUCCCGGACCAGGGCUCAAACCCGUGUCCCCUGCAUUGGCAGGUGGAUUCUUAAACCACUGCACCACCAGGGAAGCCCCUAUACUAGAUAUUAUACUAGAGAAUAGUGUUUAUAUAUUAGAUACGUAUUAAGUUAUUCCUAAUCAUAGUUAAUAGGUAACAGUAGAUAAUGCCAGAUAGCAUAUUAAGUAACAUACUGUUAUAUAGUCCACAUCCUGUAUUUUGUUCUGUUUUUCAUUGGAAGUCUUCAUAACUGGUUUUCCCCUCAGUUCAAAGUCCAAUUUUACACCCAGCUCACAGAUACAGAGAACAGAUUGGUGGUUGCCAGAGACAGGGUGUGGCGGGGGUGGGUGAAAUGGAUGAAAGUGGUUAAAAGGUUCAAACUUGGAAUUAUAGGGUAAAUAAAUCAUGGAAAUAUAGUGUACAUCAU